rnacentral:rRNA from 1 species
AAAGCGAGCGGCGGAUGGGUGAGUAACACGUGGGGAACCUGCCCCAUAGUCUGGGAUACCACUUGGAAACAGGUGCUAAUACCGGAUAAGAAAGCAGAUCGCAUGAUCAGCUUUUAAAAGGCGGCGUAAGCUGUCGCUAUGGGAUGGCCCCGCGGUGCAUUAGCUAGUUGGUAAGGUAAAGGCUUACCAAGGCGAUGAUGCAUAGCCGAGUUGAGAGACUGAUCGGCCACAUUGGGACUGAGACACGGCCCAAACUCCUACGGGAGGCAGCAGUAGGGAAUCUUCCACAAUGGACGCAAGUCUGAUGGAGCAACGCCGCGUGAGUGAAGAAGGUUUUCGGAUCGUAAAGCUCUGUUGUUGGUGAAGAAGGAUAGAGGUAGUAACUGGCCUUUAUUUGACGGUAAUCAACCAGAAAGUCACGGCUAACUACGUGCCAGCAGCCGCGGUAAUACGUAGGUGGCAAGCGUUGUCCGGAUUUAUUGGGCGUAAAGCGAGCGCAGGCGGAAGAAUAAGUCUGAUGUGAAAGCCCUCGGCUUAACCGAGGAACUGCAUCGGAAACUGUUUUUCUUGAGUGCCGAACAGGAGAGUGGAACUCCAUGUGUAGCGGUGGAAUGCGUAGAUAUAUGGAAGAACACCAGUGGCGAAGGCGGCUCUCUGGUCUGCAACUGACGCUGAGGCUCGAAAGCAUGGGUUAGCGAAACAGGAUUAGAUACCCUGGUAGUCCAUGCCGUAAACGAUGAAGUGCUAAGU